GUCUACAGCCAUGCUAUCCUGAACAAGCUGGAUCCCAUCUGAUCUUGGAAUCUAAGCACGAUUGGGCUUGGUUAGUACUUGAAUGAGAGACCACCUAGGAAGACCAGGUGCUGUACGGG
rnacentral:rRNA from 1 species